AGUGAACGCUGGCGGUAGGCCUAACACAUGCAAGUCGAACGGCAGCACAGUAAGAGCUUGCUCUUACGGGUGGCGAGUGGCGGACGGGUGAGGAAUACAUCGGAAUCUACUUUUUCGUGGGGGAUAACGUAGGGAAACUUACGAUAAUACCGCAUACGACCUACGGGUGAAAGCAGGGCAUCUUCGGACCUUGCGCGAUUGAAUGAGCCGAUGUCGGAUUAGCUAGUUGGCGGGGUAAAGGCCCACCAAGGCGACGAUCCGUAGCUGGUCUGAGAGGAUGAUCAGCCACACUGGAACUGAGACACGGUCCAGACUCCUACGGGAGGCAGCAGUGGGGAAUAUUGGACAAUGGGCGCAAGCCUGAUCCAGCCAUACCGCGUGGGUGAAGAAGGCCUUCGGGUUGUAAAGCCCUUUUGUUGGGAAAGAAAGGCAGCAGGUUAAUACCCCGCUGUUCUGACGGUACCCAAAGAAUAAGCACCGGCUAACUUCGUG
rnacentral:rRNA from 1 species